UUAUUUCAGCAGCAAAUAUACUAAAAUUGAAGCAAUACAAGGAAGAUUGACGUGGUCCCUGAGAAAGGAUGACAUGCAAAUAUUUUAAUCAUUCCACUUAAAA
ensembl:snRNA U6 U6 spliceosomal RNA